UGAGAUAUAGCAUAAGCUUAAUGCAUUUCGUUUACACUGAAAAAAUACUUAUAAUUUAAGUUGUCUUAA
rnacentral:tRNA from 1 species